GAUGAAGAACGCAGCGAAAUGCGAUAAGUAGUGUGAAUUGCAGAAUUCAGUGAAUCAUCGAAUCUUUGAACGCACAUUGCGCCCUUUGGUAUUCCAAAGGGCAUGCCUGUUCGAGCGUCAUUUGUACCCUCAAGCUUUGCUUGGUGUUGGGCGUCUUGUCUCUAGCUUUGCUGGAGACUCGCCUUAAAGUAAUUGGCAGCCGGCCUACUGGUUUCGGAGCGCAGCACAAGUCGCACUCUCUAUCAGCAAAGGUCUAGCAUCCAUUAAGCCUUUUUUCCAACUUUUGACCUCGGAUCAGGUAGGGAUACCCGCUGAACUUAAGCAUAUCAAUAAGCGGAGGA
rnacentral:misc_RNA from 1 species